rnacentral:rRNA from 1 species
UACGUAGGGUGCGAGCGUUGUCCGGAAUUAUUGGGCGUAAAGGGCUCGUAGGCGGUCUGUUGCGUCGGUAGUGAAAACUCAGGGCUUAACCCUGAGCCUGCUUCCGAUACGGGCAGACUAGAGGUAUGCAGGGGAGAACGGAAUUCCUGGUGUAGCGGUGGAAUGCGCAGAUAUCAGGAGGAACACCAAUAGCGAAGGCAGCUCGCUGGGACGGUACUGACGCUAAGGCGCGAAAGCGUGGGGAGCGAACAGG